rnacentral:lncRNA from 1 species
AAAUUAACAAACACAAAGUACAAAGAAACUUACCAGAAACCUUCACACGAAGUUUUAUCAACUCGACGGGUUCUUUUUCCUUUGCAAUAGGACCUUCUCCCAUAUCUUUGGCUAAAAAAAUCGAAUAACUCUUUUAAAUAUGAAAACAACUUAAAUUCAAAAUAAUAGCAAGAAUCAGUAAACAUGCAAAUAGUUUCUAGAAAUUAGUUUUCUUCUUGUCCAAUAUUUUAGAUGAAAACCCUAUUGAACAACUCAU